ACUACAAACCGUGCUAUCGUUCCAGGCAACUGGUAAGGAAAGUCCGGACAGCAUAGAGCAACGCACCACCUAACUGGUGGGGACCUGUUCAUCUUAUCCUGGAUAAGACGCACAGGUCACAGAAAGUGCCACAGAAAAUGACCGCCUUGUCUCGUACAGGGUAAGGGUGAAAAUGUAGGGUAAGAGCCUACGUUCUGGAAUGGCAACAUAACAGAAGGGUAAACCUUGCGUGCUGAAAUGCCAUGUAUACGGUCAAUGAGGGCGGCUCGUCCAAUGACCGAGGGUAGGCAGAUACAGGUGACGUGCGAACGUCAUCGCAGAUAAAUGAUAGCAUCAGUUGUCGCAAGACAGUUGAACAGAAUCCGGCUUAUAGGUUUGUAGUUUUU
rfam:Chitinophaga sancti strain DSM 784 genome assembly, contig: LX65DRAFT_scaffold00020.20